UACGGAGGGUGCAAACGUUGUUCGGAAUUACUGGGCGUAAAGCGCGUGUAGGCGGCAUGGCAAGUCGGGUGUGAAAGCCCUGGGCUCAACCUAGGAAGUGCACUCGAAACUGCCACGCUGGAGUCUUGGAGAGGAAGGCGGAAUUCUCGGUGUAGAGGUGAAAUUCGUAGAUAUCGGGAGGAACACCGGUGGCGAAGGCGGCCUUCUGGACAAUGACUGACGCUGAGACGCGAAAGCGUGGGGAGCAAACAGG
rnacentral:rRNA from 1 species